rnacentral:rRNA from 1 species
GACGAACCGUGCGAACGUUGUUCGGAAUCACUGGGCUUAAAGGGCGCGUAGGCGGGCGGUCAAGUCUUUUGUGAAAUCCUUCGGCUCAACCGGAGCAUUGCUGGAGAUACUGGCCGUCUCGAGGGGGGUAGGGGCAUGUGGAACUUCCGGUGGAGCGGUGAAAUGCGUAGAUAUCGGAAGGAACGCCGGUGGCGAAAGCGGGUCUCUGGGCCGUAACUGACGCUGAG